GGACGGUUAGGGAAGCAGCACCCCGACGGAGGGCUGAGCAUUGCAGGCACAGGGGCUGUGCUAGAACCAGUGGGAGAGCACGCCCGCCAUCCCAGCACUCAGGAGGCUGAGGCAGGAGGAUCGCUUCCAGGCCAGUCUGGGCUAUGUAGAGUCCAAGACUUGCCUCGACCGCAUAGCGAGACCCUGUCUCAAAAGAUAAAAAGUAAAAUCAAAAGAGCAAGGUACAUAUGAAGGGGCCCACAAAGCCAGAAGAGCCUAGGACCCAGAAAAGUCCCAAUGUAGCCCUGACUUUGGAGCUGUGACACUGAAGACUGGAGCCCCCUUAUCCUCCAACUCAGAGGCCCACAGCCCUGUGCUGUGUCCGCUCCGAAGACGUCAUGUGAGCUGGUCUGGGCACUUCGCCACAGCAAGGUCUACACCCAGAUGUCGCCUGCACAUCUAGUCCCUUUGCUCUCGCCCCAGGAGAUAGUGGCUCCUGAGCCUGUCCUCCAAUGUCCACCCUCCCCGGGGACCCUGAGCAGCUCUGUGACUUUCCUUUGGACCCUUUUUUUCCCACCAAACUAUGGACUUCUAACUGCAGUGCAAAAAUGCCCCUAGAUUAUCUCCGCUUUUAUUCUUUAAGCAUUGGCUUGGGACAGCACUGUUUGGCCCAAGAGGUCCAAGACCUUGAUGUCACCUUCCUUCGAGGACACUGUAGUGCACAGAGUGACCCUGUAUCGCUUCACUGGGUGCUGGAAGGUUCCGGAAAUGAUCAGGGCAGGAAGGUGAGAGAGCCCAAGCAACCCAGGAAUCAAGCAAGCAUCCACCGAAGGGAUGGGCACCCCCCCCCCAAGCUAAGUUGGUGGCAGUCUACAGCCGCCCUAGACAGCCAGUCUUGGGGCGCUGCAUUUGGAGAGAGGCUAAGCGAGGUCACAGGUGAUGUGGGGGGAGCCAGCUGGAGAUAGGGUCAGAGCCAGCACAAGACAGAAGAAGGUGUAUUCUGGGCGACCGCUGCUCACAGUCCCCAAGGCUGCCAUGACCUCAAGCAGGCAUGUGAACUUGUCCUGUAGACCCCUGUUAUGGUGGGCUUCUGAGAAAGAGGUGUAUCACCUGCUUGUAAAAACAAGACAAGAUGGGGUAUGGUGGUACACACCUGUAAUCCCAGCACUCAAGAGGCUAAGGCAGAAGGAUCGCUGCCGAUUUGAGGCCAGCCUGGGUUACAUAGUGAGUUCAAGGUCGGCCUGGACUACAUAGCAAGACCUUGUCUCAAAUAAACAAAAAUAAUAAUAAAACAAAACAAACACAAUGUUCUUUCUUCUCUCUGA